GGAUGAAGGCUUGUUCCUGAGAAGGAGUGUUCUGUAGACAGGCGUCCCUUAUCUCCAGCUGGCCUCCUGAGGGAUCUGCUGUGAGACAGAUGGAAUUUCAUCGUUACGAGUGCCAUAAACCACUGCUGAUUGCUGGUGGAGGAACGCUUCACCUGGCCCAGAACAGGGCUGUCAGCAGUGGCAAAGGAGAAAACUGAAAUGCUGAAAAGAUGCUUGGAAAACAGAGACAACUGAGCUGGCCAACUGUAAAAUGGAAAAGGAUUUUUUUUUCCUCCUGUAAAAGACCUUAUUUUGCAGCAAAUUCUACCCAUGAAGUAGCUUUGGGUCAUGUACGCCUCAGGUUGGGAUGUGCAGCCAGGAAAAGAAAUGGUAGCUCUCAGGAACAGCCUUGAAAAGCCAGUAUUUCAUCCAGAGGUGAAGGGAGGGAGUAGGAGGCUUUUGAUUUUGAUGAGGCAGAAGACACGUGCACCAUACAUUUCCUAAAAGACGGUGAAGGACUUUACAGCAUAAAUGUAGAGUUAAACUGCCUGUCAGCUUCAACAGAAGCACACACAACACCCAUCAAGGAAUAUAUAUCCUGAAGGGCAAAAGAGGGCUGAAUCCACUGCUGAGUGCUACAGUGAUAUGUGGGCUUGCUUUGGAGAACUCCUCCUGGCUAUUGGUUUGUUCCUCUACAAGACAAACACAGAGAUAAAAAUAUAUUAGUCUUAGAUACCUGGGACAUGACCAAAACCUGUCAGGUAGAGAUUGUUUGUAAGAAUUAGAAGGAAAAUGUCAAACCAGGACCCGUGGAUAUACUACUUCUACAUGAAAAUACAUGCAGGGAUUUAUAAAGGGUUAGGACACUUAUAAGACAGAAUAACUGGGAUUUAUGGUGUGGAUGGGCUCACACUGAAAUAGCUGCAAGUAGGGUUAGUUCCCUGUGCCCUUGGAGGAAGGACUGAGGAGGGAGAGCAUCAUUCAGAGCUUUGUUUAUCUGCAGGGAUUGCACCUUGAGUUCCUGUAUGUGAACCAAACAGAACCAGUUUCCUCUGCAGCAAUUACAGUGCCACAGUGAAUCAAGUCUCCAAGGACACCAGCAGCCCAUCCCUCGGACACAGCCUGGCAGAGCAGGGGAGAUGGAGGCUGAAUGCUCAGUGUAGGGCAGCAUAGAGUGUUAUCAGCAGACAGAACUGGGUGAGGGUCUGAUUACCAGGAGAGUGAAAUAGGCUGUGCCAAGCCUUGGAGAUCCUCAAAUCAUGAAUGAAAUUUCCCUGAAAAGGACCCUGUGUUCUGCAGUGAGGAUAGGUGAUGCCCAUCAAGAAAAGGUAUUUCAGUCGUGGGGGUAGCAAGACUUCAUAACCAACCUGAUGGUUGUAAGUAGGGCAAGGAUUUACCCUUCUUGUGGCCAUUAAAUACCUGUGCCACUGUGGAGGUAAAAAGGAUAUGAAACAUACUUAAGUUGGUUAAAAA
ensembl:lncRNA